GGAUGCGAUCAUACCAGCACUAAAGCACCGGAUCCCAUCAGAACUCCGAAGUUAAGCGUGCUUGGGCGAGAGUAGUACUAGGAUGGGUGACCUCCUGGGAAGUCCUUUGUUGCAUCGC
rfam:Oryza sativa Indica Group cultivar 93-11 Ctg036851, whole genome shotgun sequence.